rnacentral:misc_RNA from 1 species
AAUAUCUCUAUUUUAUUUUAUCUUCCUUUUUGUUUCCGCUUGGGAUUUAUUUUAAAGGAAGAAAAAAUUAUAUGGCAGCCCCAUUUUAUUUAAGUCAAAAAGAAUUCCCCAACCUCAAACUGUGAAAAAAAAUCCAAUGUCCCACUGGACAAAUUAUUAUUUGCACUGUGAAUAUAACCUCUACAUUUCUAAGCCUCAUCAUCACUAGGCAA